GCCAGGGUGCGCUACGGAUGCGAUCGUGUGGGGUACGGGAAUAUACAAUGUGCACUCGCACGUCUGCGGCGCUGCCUUGCACGCUGGCCUGCUGACCGCCACAGGGGGCGCCACUGCGCUGGUCGUCAGCAACGGUCGCUACUCGCACUACGUCGGCAGCAACCUGCACGGAAUACAGUCACUAGAGAGUUCUGAGAUUGUCAAUAGCUUCCGGUUUGAGGAGGAAGAAGUUAACCUACGGCACACAAAGUUAGCCAUCGUCGGCAAUGACUUGGCGUGUCCUGCGGGAUGGCAGGAGCGGCUUCCCGGGGCGUGUGUGCGGCUGUACUGCGGGGGCGUCAGCUGGGACGAGGCGUACACGGACUGUGUGGAGAGAGGAACGAAGCUGUUUGCUCCUGACAGCGAGGAUACGAACCUCGUGCUGACAGAAUUACUACAGG